rnacentral:snRNA from 1 species
AUCACUUCUCGGCCUUUUGGCUAAGAUCAAGUGUAGUUGUGAUACCUUACGUUCAAUUUCUGCUUUUAUUUAUUAAAAUCUUAUUUUUUUAAUUUUAUAGUUAGCCCAGCAAAAGCUUU